GCUAAACGCGAAGAACCUUACCGGGGCUUGACAUCUUUCUGACCGCCUGGGAAACCUGGUCUUCUUCCUUCGGGAAGACGGAAAGACAGGUGGUGCAUGGUUGUCGUCAGCUCGUGUCGUGAGAUGUUGGGUUAAGUCCCGUAACGAGCGCAACCCUUAUUGUUAGUUGCCAUCAUUUAGUUGGGCACUCUAAUGAGACUGCCGGUGUUAAGCCGGAGGAAGGUGGGGACGACGUCAAGUCAUCAUGGCCCUUACGUGUGGGGCUACAAACGUGCUACAAUGGUGGUGACAGUGAGCAGCCAGGCCGCGAGGUCGAGCUAAUCUCUAAAAACCAUCUCAGUUCGGAUUGUUCUCUGCAACUCGAGAGCAUGAAGUUGGAAUCGCUAGUAAUCGCGCAUCAGCAUGUCGCGGUGAAUACGUUCCCGGGUCUUGUACACACCG
rnacentral:rRNA from 1 species